rnacentral:rRNA from 1 species
GACGAACGCUGGCGGCGUGCUUAACACAUGCAAGUCGAACGGUAAGGCCCUUUCGGGGGUACACGAGUGGCGAACGGGUGAGUAACACGUGGGUGAUCUGCCCCAAACUUUGGGAUAAGCCUGGGAAACUGGGUCUAAUACCGGAUAUGACCAUGGGAUGCAUGUUCUGUGGUGGAAAGCUUUUGCGGUUUGGGAUGGGCCCGCGGCCUAUCAGCUUGUUGGUGGGGUAAUGGCCUACCAAGGCGACGACGGGUAGCCGACCUGAGAGGGUGAUCGGCCACACUGGGACUGAGACACGGCCCAGACUCCUACGGGAGGCAGCAGUGGGGAAUAUUGCACAAUGGGCGGAAGCCUGAUGCAGCGACGCCGCGUGAGGGAUGACGGCCUUCGGGUUGUAAACCUCUUUCACCAGGGACGAAGCUUUUGUGACGGUACCUGGAGAAGAAGCACCGGCCAACUACGUGCCAGCCGCCGCAGUAAUA